AGGACGUCCUUGGCCAGCCGGGCCAUGCUGAGCACCUGGUUCCCGGAGCGGUCCACGUAGUCCCGGAACGGCACGAACUGCAAAGCUACUCAGGAAGGAAAAGUCUCACCAGUUGUCGUCACCGAUAAGUAAAAUGUUAAAUAUAAUACGGUCGGUUAGAGGCUUGGCUGAGAGGAGUGUGGUCUGAGGAUACGGGACCCUCGGGGAUGUCCUGGUGAGGAUGGCCACUUCACAGCAGAGCGGUCCGACUGGAUUUUAUUAGUAAGAUACAAAACAGUUUUUUGUAUAGAACUUUGAAAAGCUUGGUAUUAAUAGUUUUCUUUACUCAAUAAAUACAUGAAACUA